GGGGCCUUCAUGCGUUCCCCGAGGAAUACGGUCUUGAAAACCGUAGUGGCGGCAACGUCACCGUGGGUUCGAAUCCCACAGUCUCCG
rnacentral:tRNA from 1 species